rnacentral:rRNA from 1 species
GGGAGCGUGGUGGCGGCGGGGGAGGGAAUACGUAGGUGGGGAGUGUGUGGCGGAAGGAGUGGGCGUAAAGCGCACGGAGGCGGCUUGCGAAGGCAGUGGUGAAGACCUGGGGCUCAACUGCAGAGCUUCCGUUGGGACUGGAGAGUGAGAGUCCGGAAGAGGUGAGUGGAACUGCGGGUGUAGAGGUGAAAUUCGGAGAUAUUCGCAAGAACACCAGUGGCGAAGGCGGAUCACUGGUCCGGUACUGACGCUGAGGUGCGAAAGCGUGGGGAGCAAACAGGAUUAGAUACCCCAGUAGUC